rnacentral:rRNA from 1 species
CACGCCCUAAACGAUGUCAACUGGUUGUUGGGAAUUUACUUUCUCAGUAACGAAGCUAACGCGUGAAGUUGACCGCCUGGGGAGUACGGCCGCAAGGUUAAAACUCAAAGGAAUUGACGG